GAUGAACGCUGGCGGCGUGCCUAAUACAUGCAAGUCGAGCGAACAGAUAAGGAGCUUGCUCCUUUGACGUUAGCGGCGGACGGGUGAGUAACACGUGGGUAACCUACCUAUAAGACUGGGAUAACUUCGGGAAACCGGAGCUAAUACCGGAUAACAUUUGGAACCGCAUGGUUCUAAAGUGAAAGAUGGUUUUGCUAUCACUUAUAGAUGGACCCGCGCCGUACUAGCUAGUUGGUAAGGUAACGGCUUACCAAGGCAACGAUACGUAGCCGACCUGAGAGGGUGAUCGGCCACACUGGAACUGAGACACGGUCCAGACUCCUACGGGAGGCAGCAGUAGGGAAUCUUCCGCAAUGGGCGAAAGCCUGACGGAGCAACGCCGCGUGAGUGAUGAAGGGUUUCGGCUCGUAAAACUCUGUUAUUAGGGAAGAACAAACGUGUAAGUAACUGUGCACGUCUUGACGGUACCUAAUCAGAAAGCCACGGCUAACUACGUG
rnacentral:rRNA from 1 species